rnacentral:sRNA from 1 species
CCCUAGCCCCGAUGGCAGUGGAAAUCCUUUUGUGCCGGGGUUCUGCACAAAAACUGGAACGCAUAGUGGGAAGAGCU